UACAGAGGUCUCAAGCGUUGUUCGGAUUCAUUGGGCGUAAAGGGUGCGUAGGCGGCGCGGUAAGUCGGGUGUGAAAUCUCGGGGCUUAACUCCGAAACUGCAUUCGAUACUGCCGUGCUUGAGGACUGGAGAGGAGACUGGAAUUUACGGUGUAGCGGUGAAAUGCGUAGAUAUCAGGAGGAACACCAGUGGCGAAGGCGACUUACUGGACACAUAUUGACGCUGAGGUGCGAAAGCGUGGGGAGCAAACAGG
rnacentral:rRNA from 1 species